rnacentral:rRNA from 1 species
UGGGGAAUCUUCCGCAAUGGACGAAAGUCUGACGAGCAACCGCCGCGUGUAUGAAGAAGGCCUUCGGGUUGUAAAAUACUGUUUUAGGGAAGAACGGCAUCUGUGUAAAUAAUGCAGGUGAUGACGUAC